AUCCCGAGAUAAAACUUCAGGAAGAAGCAACCGUUCGCUGUCUAAUAAAAAAAUUACAAAUACGCAAGAAUCGAUCUUGAAUCAACCUUCUAAGCGAUGUCGAGUUGAACAUUCCAAUAGCAAAAGCCCCAGCUCAUCUGUUAGUUCUCCUUCAAGUUCGCCUACCACUUCACCAGAGGGUGUGAGUUUAAUGGCAAAAGUUUCACCUGUCGCUCAUUAUUUUGGAAUGAACGGUCAGAUGGACAUGAUGAAUCCUAUGUGUCUUCCGUUAAUGGGUUACCGUGGAAUUUCCGGUUAUCCAAUACCACCUUUUGGA